ensembl:lincRNA
GCCCUGGGUGCCAUGGGAACACUGAAGAGAGACUGACAUGGAUGCUGCCGCCCUCGGGUACCUCCCAGGCUGCUGGAGGAGACAAGCCACGGACACAGCCACUAGCACCACCUACAAAGUAAGGAGUGCCUGCGGACUAGAUCGUGACACUACACCCUGCCACCAGCAGCGUAAGUGCCUUUAGUGGCUCUUCCUCCCAAUGAGUGAUCAUGGGUCGUGUAUGGCCAGCCACUUGCUUUCUUCCUGAUUCCUCUCAACAUCUGGUCACAGCUGGCAGCCUCUUCCAGUGACAUCUCGGACCGUAAGUGGAUCAAGACGCAGCCUUGUCAGCCCCCACAUCUCAGGAUGCUCCAGGAAGUUGCUGUGUUUAACGUGGCGGCCUACAGAGGAGGAGGCUGUACCUCAUGGUCCAGGGAGAUGGUGCUCUCAAAAGUUCCAGAAAAGGGAUGGAACAAAUUUGGAGCACCUACUUUGGGCCAGGACUCAUUUAAGCUUCAAGAAACCUAGGAAAGAGGCAACUUCCCGCCAUCUUAUAGGUGGAGGGACUGAGGGUGAAUAUUGAAUUGAUUCACUUUUGCCACAUAACAAAGCACUCCCAGAGUGUCCUAAGAUCUCCAUUUCUUUCGCUCCCAAUGCUAUAGGUAAGCAAUUUGGGCUGGACGCAGGUGGACGCCCUUCUGAUGAUCUCAGCGAGACAAUGCCCACUCAUGGUCAGCUAGGAAUCAAGUGGAGGCUGACUGGUCUCACCCACCUGUCUGGUAGUUGAUGGCUAUGGGCAACACGAAUGGCUGAGCCAUGUGCUCUCAUGAACCCAGCUUCCCAGGGCAGCAAGAGAGCCAGCCCCAAUGUGUGAACACUUUUUAAAGCCUUUGGUGGCUUGUUUGCUAAUGUCCCAGGAGCCACGUAAGACAUAAGGCCAGUGCAGAGCCAGUGUGGGAGGGGACUAUCCAAGGGGCAGAUAGAGGAAGUUAAACAAAUUAUGGCCGUUUUUGUAAUCUGCGACAAGAACUCCGUUCAAGGAACACACUAAAUGCAUGGCAGAGCUUCCUCUUUGAUCUUCUGAGCUGACAGGCAUGUGGUGAGCACAGCCUCAUGUGUCCCUAAUGUGUUCCAGACACACUUAGCACUUCCCACACAGCCAUGUAAACUGCCCGGUCCUCACUGAACUUUCUACUCCGACUGAUCUUGAGAGGCACAUGUCUCAGGAUUUAAAUAAAAAUGAAC